GACGAACGCUGGCGGCGUGCUUAACACAUGCAAGUCGAACGGUAAGGCCCUUCGGGGUACACGAGUGGCGAACGUGUGAGUAACACGUGGGUGAUCUGCCCUGCACUUCGGGAUAAGCCUGGGAAACUGGGUCUAAUACCGGAUAGGACUCCGGACUGCAUGGUCUGGGGUGGAAAGCUUUUGCGGUGUGGGAUGGGCCCGCGGCCUAUCAGCUUGUUGGUGGGGGGAUGGCCUACCAAGGCGGCGGCGGGUAGCCGGCCUGGGAGGGUGGCGGGCCACGCUGGGGCUGAGAUACGGCCCAGACUCCUACGGGAGGCAGCAGUGGGGAAUAUUGCACAAUGGGCGCAAGCCUGAUGCAGCGACGCCGCGUGAGGGAUGACGGCCUUCGGGUUGUAAACCUCUUUCAGCACAGACGAAGCGCAAGUGACGGUAUGUGCAGAAGAAGGACCGGCCAACUACGUGCCAGCAGCCGCCGUAA
rnacentral:rRNA from 1 species